CCUUCACGUAGGGACACAUCAGAAUUCAGAGCAAUGGAAGUAGAGGGUGUGGAGUGUGUAAUAGAAGGAAUCAGGGAAAUAACGUUCAUCAGUGCAAAUAGGAUGUGUAUCCAGUGGCCUCAAUCUAGGCAUUCUAGCAGACUGCACCAGACACUCAGAAUCUGGCCUCUCCUGGUCACUGAAAAGCCCGCCCUGAGUGGAGGUCGUCUCUGCAGACUUGCCACCAUGACUGGGGCUCUGUCACAGGGAUGGCACAGAGGCGAGCAUUUGGGACCAGCGUGUAGCAUGUGCUGCCUUGGGGGGCGAAGGUGCCAGUGGAGCAGAAAGGAAGGCUGGGCUCCAAGCCCUCUCCCCACGCCCACCUCUGGUUCCUGCCAGGGCUACUGCUAAGUCAUUAUUGGGUUGGCAGUGGAGAGAGAAUGUACUAAGUUGUAGCGCAUUAACUUGGCCCCAAUCCCUGAAUGCAGUUGCCCACUUUUUUUUACCUCCUCGUAGGGCAGCUAGUGGCUGCUGCUUUCCACUCAAUUUCACUCUCGCGGAUUUUCUCUAACCCUCGCCCCUUGGAGGAAAACUAUGUAGUUUUAAACCACCAUUGAAAUGAAGUAGAGCCCCCGUAUGACCAGGAAAUAGUGGAAGAAUUUGUAGGGUUAUGACCCUAUUUCAUUUUCUUAUGAAAAAACACACUGAAAGUUUAUUAUUAAAGGGCCAGAAAAGAUGGUUCUCUUUUAGGAAAAAUAUAGCCCAUCAAUGUUUUUAGUGUUUGUGAAUUGGGUCUCACGGGGAAAGGUUACCACUACUAUAAAUGAUCAAUAAGCCAUAAGAUGGAAGCUCUUCCUGAAACUGCCGUUUCAAGAAGGAAGUAAGGAUAAAAUAGCAACACAAAUUUGGAGACAUAAUGGAUUGAAAUAACAUCGUUUCUUAAGAGAGCAGUAGCGAAGGAGCAUAAGGCAGAAGGAAGGUUGCAUUUGAGGAUACUAACUCACUUUUUUGUGUCCCAAAAGGGAUUGCUCCUUGCUCCCCUCCAAAGUGGAAACUUCAGGGUCUCUGUCAGCAGAGGCAGUGAGUGAGGGGCCCCUCCCUGGCCUUCAGAGAUGCCACUCACCCUGCAGCCACUUGCUCUGCCCACACAGCCUGCCCAGCUGCAGUGCAGCGGCCGCCUCCUAGAAGUCAUUCCCGAAGGCCUGCAAAGCUGGGGGGACGGUCAGACAGGCCUGAUUCUACCCAAGCAUCUGACUCUGGCCACCGUUCCCUUCAGCCCCAACUUCCUUCCCACCUGAUAAGCGAGCCCUGGACCCACAGGCUUCCUGCCUGAAAACUGCAGCCUCCACCUGCAGCCACCUCUGCCCAGCUCGCCUCACAAGGAGAACUUUGAAGAGUUGGUCCCACCAGAACAUUUUUGCUUAAUGCAAUUCAUAACCUUCUGGAAGGAAAUUAGCAUUUCUGAUGAAAUGCAGGUGUAUUUUUCUAUGGAUAUGAGUCGGGUUAAGAACUACUCUGAGGGCUUCCCUGGUGGCACAGUGGUUAAAAAUCCGCCUGCCAAUGCAAGGGACAUGGGUUCGAGCCCUGGUCUGGUAGAAUCCCACAUGCCGGGGAGCAACUAAGCCUGUGCACCACAACUACUGAGCCUGCGCUCUAGAGCCCGCAAGCCACAACUACUGAGCCCACGUGCCACAACUACUGAAGCCCGUGCGCCUAGAGCCCGUGCUCCACAACAAGAGAAGCCACCGCAAUGAGAAGCCUUCGCACUGCAACAAAGAGUAGCCCCUACUCACCGCGACUAGAGAAAGCCCAGGGGCAGCAAUGAAGACCCAGCACAGCCAAAAAUAAAUAAUUUAUAAAAAUUUUUUUUAAAUGACUCUGAGAAACUACCCACCCUCCUAGGUAACCCAACCUGAAUUCUUUAACGGGACAUUUGGAUUAUCCCUUUUUUCCCCAAUAAGUCAAUAGUGAUUAACCUAAUAUUUAUUUAUUUAUUUAUUUUGCCUUUAAAUACCUCUGCUGUGAAAGAAAUCCUUGAAAUUGGCCAGCUCGAGGUCUGUGCCCUUGCAGUUUAUAAUAAAAUUCCAACAUAA